rnacentral:tRNA from 1 species
GAGGGUAUAGCUCAGAGGUAGAGCGCGUGAUAAGCAUGCACGAUGUCCUGGGUUCAAUCCCCAGUCCCUCCA